GAAGGAGAGACAGGGAUGAGGAUCGAGGUUUCGGAAGGAGGGAUCGGGAUAGGGUUUCGAGCGCAAGGGGGAUCCGGACCAGAGCGAGAAGGGCUGGAGGGAUGAACCGCGGGUUAUUCCUACGCCCAGGCCGAACGCGAGACCGGUCACCCCGACGCGGCAGGAGGAGAGAAGGGAUGCGUCGCCUGCGCCGAGAGAGCCGCCCAAGGAUGGAAGCAGAGAGGGGUCUCCGGUCAGAGAAAAGAGAGAUGAGCCCCCAGCAACGCGCAAGCCAUUGAAUCUGAAACCGCGCACAGCGCCCAUCAGCAACACACCUGAGGUAGUGCCAAGCUCUGUGUUCGGGAACGCCAAGCCUGUUGACACAGCAGCGAAAGAAAGGGAACUGGAAGAAAAGUGGAAAGCGCGAGGCCGGCCAGAGCGAGAGCCCAAGGAAGGCGGCGAAAGGGAGCGCACCGAUAGAGAUGCUGACAGAGAACGAGGAGACCGGGACCGUGAACGCGGUGACCGGGACCGUGAACGUGGUGAUCGGGACCGUCCCAGAGGUGACCGAGAUCGCGACAGAGGUGACCGAGAUCGCGACAGAGGUGACAGAGAUCGUGAUAGAGGUGACAGAGACAGGCGUCGUCCUUUCAACCGGGACAGGGACCACUUUAAGGAUCGAGACUCAGACAACAGGCCAUCAAAAGAGAAUGAACCUCCAAAAGAAGGAAAAAGUUUUGAGCCUGCACCACCUCCGAAAGAAAACGCUUGGACCAAGCGUCCUCAACUAUCGGCGAACAAUGGUCUGCCUGAAUCGGAUGAAUCAAAGAUAGUCAAGAAGGUAGAAUCUGAGCCCAAAGAACAGAAGGAAGAAGUGAUUUCUGAAAUUAAGCCGAAAGCUGCUCCUGUCGAACCGGCGGCAAAAGAACCUAGUAAACCGAAAGAAAUCAUCUCCAACGAUGCUAAAACGAAUUCACAACCCAUCACCGAGUCAAAGAAAAGUGAUACAACCGUUAACAAUCGUGCACCUCCAAAAGCGAGUGAGCCAGUCAAACCUAUCAAACCUCAACUGCAAGAACGGCAGGACCCCGAAGAGCCAGCAUCAGGUGACGGUGAUGACAGCGAGUGGAGCACCAAAGUCUCAAGAAUUGAACCAUCUGAAGAGAUCCAAUCAUCAAAAAUGCUCAAAGCUAAAGAACAAAAACCUCCUAAUUUUGCAACAGUCAACAAAUACGCUCUUUUUGAUGAUGAUCCAGAAGACAUCAACAAACCGAACUGAUUUUUUCAAAUAUCGCACCCCUAUUUUUGUCCCUUUCAAUUCUAUUCAUUAUCGCUCAUGGUUCAUCCAUGGUUAUUCAGUAACUUAACCCUUGCCUCCAACUUAAAGAUAAUUUUAUGUAACAGAAUUUUAGUGUGUCCCAUCUAAUGAUUACAGAUCCUUUACUUAUGUUCGUUGUACUUUCAUCGAUUGGCCCCGUAUCCUCUUAUUUUCACCAUAAAUUAUUUUGUCCAGAAUUUUCUUUGUCUGUCACUGAAACUACAAGGCUGAAUUUUUUUUUUUUUUUUUUUUUCUAAAUUAAUUUUUCAUGUUUAAUUCUCAAAAGAUGUUGAACAUCAGGAAUCCCAAGCGUUAAGUUAAGUAUCCAAUUGGGCCUGUCGGUUUUUUUUUUUUAUUUAUUUUUUUUUUUUAUUAUUUUUGCAUUUUUCCUGAAAAAUUUUCCUCUUUUCCUCACAAUUUCAAAAAAUUGUUAAUUUUUUCUUCAGCCAAGAAAAUAUUUCUUUCUUUUUUCUCUUUAUUUAUGUUUUUUUUUAAUUGUAAGUGAAAUUUGUCUAGAGACUUAAUCACUCCCUUUCUUGUGAAUAUAACUUCGCGAGUACAUACUGGAUAUUUAUUCUGUACCUACACUAUGUAUGUAUGUAUCAAUUGUGAUUUUAUAUUCUACGAUUCAACCAAGCGUUGCAGUCGCAACAAAAUUGCUAAAAGGUAUUUUUAUACUAUUUUUACUUCCCUGAUACGCAGUGUUACCAUUUCUAAGGCAGCUUAAUUUUCUAUGAGACGGAGACCCAGACUCAUCGAUAGAGACUUCAAUGUGCUGGGUCAUCGUCCUCAAAAACGAAAAAAAAUUGUCUGGAAACGGUACCCCCGCUGAAAGUCUGAGGAACUUUUCCAAGUCAGGGUUUGAGUGCUCUGUGUGUGCGUGUGUGUACAUUUAAGUAUGGAUGAAGUCGAUCGUCCGAAUAUUGGAAUUCGGCAAUCGGCAGAUUUUGUUGUAAUCUACUCCCGAAAACUUUCAGUCCUGUUUUUGGUCUUCUUUGCAUCAAUCACGCCACGUCAGUUUUGUCAGUUUGCAGAAAAAUUGCCCAAUCCUUUAAGUUCUGAUGGUUCUUUAACCAUUUUGUCUGUAGUAUGUAAUUUUCAGUCUGAAGUGAACAGUACGCAUCUUGAUUUGUCCGGGCGCAAGAGAAUUUAGUUCAUUGUUGUUAGAACCAGAAUAAGUUUGAUGUUCGUUUUUAAUAGCUGCUCACGUAAUUCCAGAUCUGAUCGUAUAACUUUCAGAUAGUUGGAUGAAACUCUAAAUUCUUGCAUUAUAAACCAAGAAGAAGUAAUUUCUUCUUCCUAUAACUGACAAAUUUGUCAACGUCUUUAUUUUCGUUAGAGUUAUAAAUUGAGUUCUCUAGCAUUAAUAAUUUGAGAUAAUUAGAGGCCUGUGAUAAGAAACUGCAAUAUUCUAGUCAUGGCUCCUUCUCUCCUUAGACUGAGAAAUUUUAUCAUUCCGAAGUUGACAAUUGUGAAUCAAUUUUGCUCAAUUUGAAAGCACAAGUAAACUUAAUUGUUUCUUUUAUUUUGCCGAGUUGCAACAUUGAUAUGUUCUCUUUUAUGCAUAAUCAUGCUUUUCAAGAUGUUUUACCCCUGUUUUGCACAGAAAUCAUGAUGAUGAAAAAUAUCAAAUAAAAAUUACAAAUUCUAUAUUUAGACGUUUCCUGUAUUUACAUUUUGCAAUUUUUUUUUUCCGAGUAAAAGGUAUAAGUUCAAGUAAAUUAUCAGUAAAAAUACCUUCAAUCAACAAAUUACUAUUGUCCUCAUUGUUCUAUCUACGUAUUCGUUCGUCAUCUGAAUUAAUUUCUUGCGCUCGGAUAAACAGAAGCUAAUGUUAAGUAUUAUUCUUUUGCCUUUUUCAUCAGUUUUCUUUUUUUUUUGCGGCCCUCACCGCUCCACGCAAUUUAUCAGUUUGAAUCUACUCCAAUGUACAUAAUACUACACGCAUAUAGGUUAUUAAUUGAUUAGUUAAUUCAAUAUUUUGGUGUAUUUGUUUACCUUUUAAUGAUUGGUUUUUAAUAUUGUUGCAACUGAAACCUUAGUUUGUUUAUAAAUUGAAUAAACUUACUAUUAUAUUUGGUAAACUGUUUUGUCUGAUCUUGAAUUGUCUCUCCUUAUGGCUAAAUUUAAUAUGGUUACCAAGUUUCUUCCUUUCAUAAACCACUGGAUAUUUUCUCCGUUCCGAGCUUCGAAAUUGUAUCCUAGUAGGUUUCUUACUUUGACUGUUUUAAAAGAUGCACAAUCUCUCGGCACCAACAAAGAAAGAGAAUGAAUUUUUGUAAAGAAUGAAAAAUCAAGCUGAGUUUAGCAAAAAGGAACCAACUCUUUUGGUAUCUUUUAGGAACAACUCCUAAGGAUUCCUCUUCCAAAUCAGAAUAAAAUGAGUCGAACACUAACUUAGAUAAUAAUUGAAUUUUCACAGUAGAGUUGCAAAAUAACCUAAUUAGUGUGUACACUAAGAUCCCUAUCUCAAUCUAAUGGCACAAUUCCUCUGACAUUACACUUAUAAAACUUGUAAAAUAAUUUGAAAAAGAAAAAAAAAAUAUACCAAGCAAUCCAUCCCCACCCCAAGAAUAUUUUAUGAAGAAAAUACCAUGUAUAGACUUCCUUAAAAGAUUUAUUAUAUAUUUUGUUUGGAAGUAAUUUAUUCCGUACAUCACGAUAUUCAACCAAAUGUUUUCAUACAACCGACAUACAUGGAAGUCUUACAGUAGGGAAGUAGAUAUCUCCUUUGAUUUUUUUCAUCCGAAGGAGGUACCCAUUAUUAUCACAGAUAUUUAACUUAGCUCUUAACACAAUAAAACUUAACGGUGAUAAAUACAUACAAGCAACUUGUUGGUAUGGAAUAGAGAAAUCUCAUUUUGCAGAAAAUAUUACAUAUUCAAGAGGCGAAGAACAUGCGUAACGCUUCGACAAAUCGUCAGCUCUUUAAAGCAUUGAUCUCAUUUUCUUGUACAGAAGAUAUUUCAGAGAUUUGUAAAAUGUCCACUUUAAUUUUGUCUAUCAUCCUAAGUCUCUUACUCAUGUCAUACGUAUUAAAUUUUCGAACUGAACUUGCUGAUAAAUUUUUUUGAAAGACUCUCCUGUGUGUGUAGACCUCUGAUUUUAAAUGAAUCCUCAGAGUAAAUAGCAAUGCUCGCCUAAUAUCGACAGCAAAACUUAUAAAGCUUGUAUCUCAUCUGCGGUGCACGUUGGGACGAUCCCGGAAAAAGUGGGACAUUUGACUACUGUGCGGUGAAAAUAUUCGAAUCCAGAAAUUGCAUAAC
rnacentral:lncRNA from 1 species